GCUUAUAUAUACGCGCAUACACUCACCCCUAUAAACGCACACACGCACACCCUACCCUUAUGAGCAUCUUCGAGACACUGAGCCAGCAUAUCAUUUUGAGAUUUACGAAGUCACCGUAGACACCUUGUCGUCGACAGGAUGUCUCCUCCCACUGAAAGCGCAUCGCCGGAAAUCCUGAAAUAAAUCCAAGAAUAAUGCGAGCACUAGAAUUUGAAUCCUGAUGGGUUAAGUAUACCACUGUUCACCUAACCAACCCAACCACAAGUUGAUUCGCACAUAAUAUCAAUCACAUCAUAUUUUUCUCAAUCACAUCAUAUUUUUCUUACCUUUUUCUACGUAUUCUCUUUGUUAAAACUAAAUAACUCUUGUGGGUAUUACGGGAUAAUCCCCGCUCCUUUCUACAUGUGCGGUUGCACACUUCCAGCGACCGUCAUGGCGGUUCCUGGAAUGGCAUCUCUACGGACCAUCGUCCUGUCCCUCGGAGGCAACUGUUCCCAUUGUAUACAAGUGCUCAUUCAUCAUCAAUAAAGGGUGGUUUGAAUCAUUUGUUCCUUUAUCUCUCUCGAUACAAUUCUAUUUAUCACACGUUAUUGCGCUCUGUUGAGAGAAAUAGGCCAUGCCUGAGAUGGCGGUUACACAGCAUAGAGACCUCCCCACGGCGGCCUCAGGCAGAGUCGACAGCGAUAGGGCACCAAGUGGGCACGCGACCGCCUCAAGCAGAGACAACAAGUCCAGCGGUCCAGAUCUCCUGCGAUCUUCGAUUCCACAGAUUUAGCCUCGAGGAAGAGAGAAAUUAGAGUGAAAGAAGAUCAAGAAACAAGAUCAAGCAAUCAUGCUCAUACAAAAGUCUUAAUCUAAUUGCUACAUGAAUAAGGUGCUACUUUCCGUUUUUAAAUUCUGUAAGCUUCAAUCGCAUCAGAAAUUAGUACUCUGGCAUACCUGGGCAUGCACGCAGCAGUGGGAGAGCGUCGUUGCAUACAUCUCCAACAGCGGCCCUACCCAGACGUCUGGAAUAGCCGGCGCACAGCACACUGCGUCUGCGUCCUCAACGUCCCAGCGGCGGACAAGGAAGGACAACGGCUGUCAUGCGACGCGGAGUCCCUGGCAUCUUACGGUGGCGCAGCCUUAAUGCACUCGCCGACCACAACGACGACGACCCGCGGCGCCUGCAGCCUGAACGGCGAGGUGUCCGACAACAACCUCAUCACGCACCUGCCAUCUCCGACGCCUGCACUUCUGGUGUCGUCCAUUUCGGUACGGGGACGGAGGCCGCCGUGACCAUCGCCUCGCCACAGCCGGGGAUGGUAGCGGGCUCGAGCAACAGUGCUUCGGGCGCCUCUCCGGGCGCGCCGUCGCGGCCAUCGAUCGCCGCCCAGGCCGUCGAUCUGGAGCGUGGGCUCCGGCGCACCUCGGCCUCAUCAACGCCCUGCCCCUCGGAGCUCGUCAAGGCCCCGCCGCCGCUGGAGGCAACCGCGGGCUUGAGCAGCCGCGCGGAGCAGCACUUUGGCCGCCUCUUCGGGCGCGCCGUGGCCGCCAUCGACCGCCGUCCGGCCGCCGCGCCGGCUCAUGGGCUCCGGCAAGCCUUGGCCUCGGCGCUGCUCGUCAUGCCCCGUCGUCGUCUCUUCUUCCUUGGACAAAGAGGCCUCGUCGGUGUCGCGCCGCUGACCACCGGAAUGCGAGGGGAGGCGCCGGCGCUCGCUCCAACAACCGGCGACUGGGUCUUCUGCUCCCCAUGAGCGCAGGUGGUGGGGGAUCGAGCGAUGGUGCGGGUCGGGGCGAACCCUUAUCCGUAACCGCCCCACCCCUCGCCUCUUCUUAGGCGGUGCGGGAGGCUGCGGGCCGGCCAAAGGCCAUGGAGGCCCAGACCCAGGCGCCUGGCGUUACCUCUGGCUGCCCCUUCCC
rnacentral:lncRNA from 1 species